UCAUUGAACGGUAAACGUCACACACGUGUCGUCACAUUCUUUUUGGGUGCCCGUAAGGGUUUAAAGAUGGGGCACGUGGAGGAAUAAC
rnacentral:sRNA from 1 species